UUCUUCCUUCUGAACCUCCAGAAGGAACCGGCCCUGCUGACACCUUGACUUCAGCCAAGUGAAACUGAACUUGGGCUUCUGACCUCCACAACUGCGAGGAAAUAAGUGUGUGUUGUUGUUUCAAGGCACUAAGUGUGUGAAAUUUCCAGAAAGAGGUUUGAAUUGUGCAUGUAUCACUUGCCUGUUGAGGGGCAUUGAUCACACCAAGGUCAUAUCCAAACUGGAAGGAACCCAGCACGGCAGUGAGGACA